rnacentral:lncRNA from 1 species
CGAGAUCGUAUAUAUAUUUAUGUUACAAAGUCGUAUUAUAUUAAAAAUGCAAAUAGUGCGUGAAUCUGUCCAUUACUAUAAUAGAUCCUGAGAAAGCAUCGAGUCAAAAUCUAGCAAAGAAAGCAAAGAAGGAAGCAAAAAUUCACAUAGAAAAUCAUUUUGCUGGCCAUUACUAUAAUAGAUCCUAUCCCCCUCUUGAAAGCUCUCCACAUAUAAUCUGUCACACCCUCAGCCUCUCACACACCCUCCCACUACCUCACUAAAAUGCGCAGACUUGUUGCUAAAAUGAGCAUAGUGCGUGAUUCGCCCGCUUCUUACUUGCCCGACUCUUUCUUCUUUACCACCCUUUAACAAAAAAAAGGAACCGUCUUUUCACUACCUCACUCUCUCUCCUUUACUCCCCUCUCUGUUGCUUCCUUUUUCCGGCGAGUUUCUCGGCUGAGAUUGUAAACUUUUGUGUCUUUUCUGAGAUUAUGCUGAGAUCAAUUAUUGGCAAGAAACAAAUGUCUUCUGACAUAAGCUAAACUCUCUUCUUACAAUCACUGUCGCUUCCUUUUACACAUAAAGUCUUCUUCUUUUUGCUUUGAAUUGCAUAUGGCAGCUCGAUUAAACGGAUCUAGCUACUUCAAUCUCUGAUUCUCCGGUGUUUUAUCUGAGCUAGGGUUGUUUUAAAUUAGCUUCCUUUUUUUUGGGAUUCUUCGUAGUCCUGUUCAACUGUUUUGUUUGGGAAAGGGAUGGGUAGGAGGCAAAUCUCACAGGAUGAAGUAGGACCGCCGAUAAACCCAAGAGCUGGAUUGCGAAGGGAACAAGCUGGGAGAGGUUCUUACAGAGGAAGUUAGUCACUUUGUUGCUCAUCGUUGGGGAAAAAAAAGUUUCUUCUUUUUUGAAGUGGAGACAAGACUUUGUUUUUUUGUUGUUGUUUUUUUUUCUCGAAUUUAUAAAAGAAUCAAGGGAAAGGGUUUUGUGUUUUUUUUUUUUUUUUUCAUUUCCGGAGGGUUCUCAUCUCUGUCUCUCUUAGAGAAUGGGUUCUACCUCGCAAGAGAUACUGAGGAGCCUCUGCUCUAACACGGAGUGGAGAUAUGCUGUGUUCUGGAAACUUAACCACCGGUCUCGAAUGUGAGUUGUCUUAACGUUUCCUUUUAUUCCUGCUAAGAUAUGUUUACUGUCUGUGCUUGGUGGACCAUUUAUAAUUGUCAACGGGUUGGAAUCUGAUAGUUGAUUUGGGUGUUUAAGAGAUGUAUAGUUAAUGUUUUUAAGACGUACCUCCAACUCCCUAGUGUUAGAGAACAUAUGGAAUGCAGCCUUAUGCAAGUGUAGUUUAAGUGGCUUCUUAAUGGCUUGCGAAUAUAAUGCUUCUAUAUAGGUGUUUAAGAGAUGUAUAGUUAAUAUUGAUAUGUACUCCAACUCGCUAGUGAGAGAAGAUUUUUUUGUCCACAAAGAUUUUCUUCAUAUGGGGAAUGUCAUUGUCUAGUAAAAUGACCUUGUACUAUAAAUUGUUUCAGGCUAUCAAUUCGAACAGCAUAAUCAUUUUCUUCUAGAAGUGCUCAUAAACUUUCAAAAAAUUCGUGAACAAUUUUGGAUAUUAUAAAGGUAAAUGUAGUCAAUUUAAAUUUUCAUUUGGUUUUGUUUGAUCCGAUCUGGUUUCAGAAGAUAGGGUCAAUGGAUUGACUAUGAACCGGUUUGAUACAUUCCAGUUUUGAUAUUUGUUCGAUCAACUAUAUCUUAAUAUCUUAUCAGUUUGGGUUAGGUUUGAUAUUAUGAUUGGAGGUCAAACAAAAUAAAACCAUAUAUAGUCAGAUUAAUAUAUAUAUUAAUUGCUUGCUUUCUGAAUCAGUUUGUUUUCGAUUUGAUGCUAAAUUCGACCAGUUAGUUUAAUCUAUUACUAAAGUGCGUGUUUGUUUCUUUGACAUAUUUAUUAUUAUUAUAACAAAUGUGUUUAUACAUAAAAUGUAUAUCAAGUGUCUUAAUAAUUUUUGUUAGCAGUUAUUUUUUAUGUUUACGUUCAUUUUUCAUCUAUACAAAAUGUUAGUAUUGUGAAAUAAUUAAUUUGUUAUUGGAAACUACAAUAAGAAAUUAAAUUUAAAAUUAGUUACGGUAAAAUUAAUUAAAACAUGUUAAUUAUUUCUGAAACCGAAUGUGUGGGUUUGAAUAGGAAACUGGUGUCGCCUAUUUAUAAUAUCGAUCUGAUUUAAAGCGAGGUGUUUAGGUUUUAGGAGAAACUUGGGGAGAAAGUUGAGGGAUCAUCUCUUUAUUAUCGAAUAUCUCUAUCUUAAUAGUAUAGAUUCAAAAAAUUCAGUUAUCAUGUCAAACAAAAUAUAUUAUAUGCGUGUUCAUCAAGUUAAUUUAAUUAAAUUGAAAAAUCUUGUUUCUAUAUAUUAUCUUUUGAAUUUAUGGUACGUAGCAAUUAUGAAAAAUGGAUGUUAUAGAGAAUAUUCUUGGAAUUUAUUUGAUUUGAAUCCGAAAAUUUAUGAGUUUCUAUUUAUUAUGUUUUAUAUUUAUAUUUAUAUACCAAAAUUGGUAAGUAUUUAUAUUUAAAUAUUAUUGGCUGUUUAAAAGGUCAAUAACAUAGAAAACCAAUGCUUUCGAAAUAUGCUAACCCUAUACUAUAAUAGUAUAAUUAAUAUUAUUGAAAGAUGAUAUUAAAUAUAUUUCGGCAACUUCAUAUAAGAAAAUUUUAAAUAAGACAUAGACAUUAUAAUGAACUCCAAUAUAUUUGCUAUAGUUUUCUGGACAACAGGUUUUUGAUGGUGUUAAUAGAGUUUGAAUUGAGUUAAGGUUUGGAUAGAGUUUUAGGGUAUAGGGUUAGAACACAACGAAUUUCGAUGGGUUAGUAAACAUACAUGAAAUGAGCUUAAAUUUUUUAUGGAUAAAUUAUUUAAAUUAUUGGGUUGUUUUGUUUAGUUGGACACAAACAUGCAACUUUCUAAUUUAUUGGGCAGUUUUUGUAAUUAAUUGGAAAAGUUAGGGGCAUAGUCAUAAGAAUAAUUCUGCUUUAAUAGUAUAAAUAAUAAAAAAAAUCCUACUCUAAUAGCUGGUUCUCUGUUUUUUAACCCGCGUCUACAUUUUAUAAACCUUACAAACAUAAUAAAUAUUCACAUUCAAUUUAAAGGUGAUAAUAAAUAUUUAAUCACUUAUUCUAGAGAGUAUAUCCACAAAUGGAUGAUCAUCAAUUUGUAUGGAUUUUAUGGUACAUUUGGAAAGGAAGGAACAACAAAGCUUUCAGCAAUCUAGACAUUGAUCCCGGGGAUACGUUAAAAUUGAUGGAAACAGAGUCAACACUUUGGGCUGAAGCACAAGUGUUGAACACACAGAGAGGGACACAACCUGUAAAGGUUGUGACUAUGCCGCCAAUCCUAGGGCGAUAGUGCUUUUCAGAUGGCUAUUGGAAAGAAAAUGAGGUUUUUUUCAGGACAUGGAUAGUAUAGUUCAUUAGAAGGUUUUGAUGGUUUGAUGGGGCAAGAAAUGUAAGGACUAGUUUAUCUCCUCUUCAUUCAAAGAUCGAGGCUUUAGUUUGGGCAAUGAGUGUAUGAGGAACUUGCGGCAGGUUCGGGUUACGUUUGCAACAGUUUGCUCUCAAGUUAUGAAGAUGGUUUUGGAACCAAGUGAAUGACCAGUUUUUGCAAAUUAUUUGGAGGACAUAAAGACCUUAGAGAAAGUUUUCUUAACUCGGAGAUCAUUCAUGUACCAAGAACGCAUAAUUUAAGGGUGGAUGUGAGAUAACAAACUAAGUCUCACAUUGGAGAAUUAGACAAGGAGUGUCUAAUAUAUAAAGAGAUGUCCAACUCUAAUUAGCAAGAGGCCUUUUGGAAAGGAAACCAAAAGUAAAUCCAUGCAGGCUUAUUAGGCCCAAAGUGGACAAUAUAGUACUAAUCAGAGAAUAAAGAGUUGGACACGGGAUUUCACAAUCCCAACAAUUGGUAUCAGAGCGGUUGACGAGAAAUCUGCAAGAAGACCAAAAUACCCUUCGAGUAGGAACGGGACCCAUCGAGUUAGGAUUGGGAGGUGUGUGUGGCAGAGAUCAAGUCAAAAGAUCCUGGAAGUCAGUUGUGGGACACGAGAUGAAUGUGAUCCUUAGUUUGAGGGGGAGAAUGUGAUAUAACAAACUAAGUCCCACAUUGAAGAAUUAGACAAAAAGAGUCUAAUAUAUAAAAAGAGAUGUCCAACUCUAAUUAGUACGAUGCCUUUUGGGAAAGAGCUCAAAAGUAAAUCCAUGCGGGCCAGCCUCUUAGGCCCAAAGUGGACAAUAUCGUACUAAUCAGAGAAUAAAGAGUUGGACACGUGAUUUCACAAUCCCAACAGUGGAUAAUCUAGCAUGUAGUGCCAGGAAGCAAUCGUGUUUCGUCGUUUAGCGGAGUUACCAAUUUGGUUUACAGAUUCAGUUUGAAUCUGUUUUAGUUGAUGACAAAAUAAAAUAAAGCUUUUUGAUGCAAAUAUAUGGUAUUUAGUAAAUGUAUUUUUGGUUCAUAUAAUGGACCCGCAACCAAAAAUAACAUAGGACAACAUAUUGAUGAUUCACUGGCUAGUUUACUUUGUCCAGAGAUUAUUAUGGUAAGCAAGACAAAAUGAGUGAGUAUGAAAAAGACAUUAGGUUUUUGUUGACAAUACAAAAAGGGAAAUAGAGAGAUAUGUUCAAUCAUAAUGUGAGGAUAUGUAUGGACAAGUUAUAAAGCUCCUCUAUGUUUCAACUUUAUAUUGGCAAAUGAAAUCAUUUUUUAACAAAAGCUGAAUAUCCACUAAUCCAUAAAUUCCACGUUUCGAUUCCCUCAAUUUUUUUUAAAAAAAAUUUACUUUUAGUUUAUAAAUAACAUAGUUUCAAUUAUCAUUUAUAAACCAAACCACUAUUUUUUCUCACUGUUAUUUUGGUUUGCUCAUUAUUUAUAUUUUACUGUUGCCGUAGUUUUCAUUUUUUAAUCUUCUAUCAAAAAAUUUAAAAUAAUAAUGAUUUAAUAUAGAUUACCAAAAAACAAACCACUAAACUAUAUAUAAUGGUUAAUGUGAAUAAUACAUUUUUUUGAAGAAGAAAAGUUUUUGUAUUGAAUUUAAUUUAUUGAUGAAUAUUGUUUAUCAUACAUUUAAAUCUAAUACAAAAAUGUAUGUAUGUAUUUUGUUAAAUUUUAGGAGAAAUAAAAGGUAAAUCUAUACUAUUAAAACAUAAACAUUCUAAAAAAUCUACUUAUACAAACUUGUUGCAUUCUUUCAUUAGACUACUAAUAUUUUGGUCUUAUCUUAAAUUUAGACUAACAAUAUGUUACCAUAUAUUUCUCUAACAAUAUUUAACUCAAUCAGUAAAAAAAUAUAUCAAUGUUAAUAAAUAUAAUCUUUUCUAAUAUUUACUCCUACAAUUUUGGUAUUUAACAAACUAAUUUUGUAAUCAAUCAAAUUAAUUAAAAAUUUCUUUGUUAUUUAAUUAAUCAUCAAUAUCAUUUUACAUAUAUCGAUUUAUGCGCCAUCUCACAUAUAGAUUGUUCAUCCAUGCAAAUUAUUUUUUGGCCAUACCAUUAAUUAAUUAAUUAAUUAAUUAAACUAUAUAAUAUUUUAAAGUCGUAUAUAGAUUGUUCAUCCAUUACUAUAAUAGAUCCUGAGAUCAUAUGUUUUUGUUAAAUUUUAGGAGAAAUAAAAGGUAAAUCUAUACUAUUAAAACAUAAACAUUCUAAAAAAUGUAUGUAUGUAUUUUGUUAAAUUUUAGGAGAAAUAAAAGGUAAAUCUAUACUAAAAUUUAUUCAAAAAUAUGGUAACAAAAAUGUAUGUAUGUAUUUUGUUAAAUUCUAGGAGAAAUAAAAGCUAAAUCUAUACUAAUAAAACAUAAACAUUCUAAAAAAUCUACUUAUACAAAGUUGUUGCACACUUUCAUUAAUAUUUUGGUCUUAUCUUAAAUUUAAACUAACAAUAUGUUACCAUAUAUUUCUCUAACAAUAUUUAACUUAAUCAGUAAAAAAAUAUAUCAAUGUUAAUAAAUAUAAUCUUUUCUAAUAUUUACUCCUACAAUUUCGGUAUCUAACAAACUAAUUUUGUAAUCAAUCAAAUUAAUUAAAAAUUUCUCUGUUAUUUAAUUAAUCAUCAAUAUCAUUUUACACAUAUCGAUUUAUGCGCCAUCUCACGUAUAGACUGUUCAUCCAUGCAAAUUAUUUUUUGACCAUACCAUUAAUUAAUUAAUUAAUUAAACUAUAUAAUAUUUAUAAAUAUAUAAUUUAUGCCGAGAUCGUAUAUAUAUUUAUGUUACAAAGUCGUAUUAUAUUAAAAAUGCAAAUAGUGCGUGAAUCUGUCCAUUACUAUAAUAGAUCCUGAGAAAGCAUCGAGUCAAAAUCUAGCAAAGAAAGCAAAGAAGGAAGCAAAAAUUCACAUAGAAAAUCAUUUUGCUGGCCAUUACUAUAAUAGAUCCUAUCCCCCUCUUGAAAGCUCUCCACAUAUAAUCUGUCACACCCUCAGCCUCUCACACACCCUCCCACUACCUCACUAAAAUGCGCAGACUUGUUGCUAAAAUGAGCAUAGUGCGUGAUUCGCCCGCUUCUUACUUGCCCGACUCUUUCUUCUUUACCACCCUUUAACAAAAAAAAGGAACCGUCUUUUCACUACCUCACUCUCUCUCCUUUACUCCCCUCUCUGUUGCUUCCUUUUUCCGGCGAGUUUCUCGGCUGAGAUUGUAAACUUUUGUGUCUUUUCUGAGAUUAUGCUGAGAUCAAUUAUUGGCAAGAAACAAAUGUCUUCUGACAUAAGCUAAACUCUCUUCUUACAAUCACUGUCGCUUCCUUUUACACAUAAAGUCUUCUUCUUUUUGCUUUGAAUUGCAUAUGGCAGCUCGAUUAAACGGAUCUAGCUACUUCAAUCUCUGAUUCUCCGGUGUUUUAUCUGAGCUAGGGUUGUUUUAAAUUAGCUUCCUUUUUUUUGGGAUUCUUCGUAGUCCUGUUCAACUGUUUUGUUUGGGAAAGGGAUGGGUAGGAGGCAAAUCUCACAGGAUGAAGUAGGACCGCCGAUAAACCCAAGAGCUGGAUUGCGAAGGGAACAAGCUGGGAGAGGUUCUUACAGAGGAAGUUAGUCACUUUGUUGCUCAUCGUUGGGGAAAAAAAAGUUUCUUCUUUUUUGAAGUGGAGACAAGACUUUGUUUUUUUGUUGUUGUUUUUUUUUCUCGAAUUUAUAAAAGAAUC